UCAGAGCAACCGGAGGCGCCUGUGGCUGCAAGCCAUCAAACGUAUUGAUGAAAACUGGACUGAGGACACGAUCCAAAAUGCUGGCGUUUGCAGUGGCCAUUUUAUAACAGGACACAAAACAGUCAGAUCCCCGAGGCAACGGUGGAAAGGUACCAUAGGAAAAG